UGGGGAAUCUUGGACAAUGGGGGCAACCCUGAUCCAGCCAUGCCGCGUGAGUGAUGAAGGCCUUAGGGUCGUAAAGCUCUUUCGCCUGUGAAGAUAAUGACGGUAGCAGGUAAAGAAACCCCGGCUAACUCCGUGCCAGCAGCCGCGGUAAUACGGAGGGGGUUAGCGUUGUUCGGAAUUACUGGGCGUAAAGCGCACGUAGGCGGACCAGAAAGUUGGGGGUGAAAUCCCGGGGGCUCAACCCCGGAACUGCCUCCAAAACUAUUGGUCUAGAGUUCGAGAGAGGUGAGUGGAAUUCCAAGUGUAGAGGUGAAAUUCGUAGAUAUUUGGAGGAACACCAGUGGCGAAGGCGGCUCACUGGCUCGAUACUGACGCUGAGGUGCGAAAGUGUGGGGAGCAAACAGGAUUAGAUACCCUGGUAGUCCACACCGUAAAACGAUGAAUGCCAGUCGUCGGGUAGCAUGCUAUUCGGUGACACACCUAAUGGAUUAAGCAUUCCGCCU
rnacentral:rRNA from 1 species